CAUCGUCAUCUUCUUCUUGUUGUGCACACACACAUCCAUAUCUGCAAAUAGUUCUUUCUCUUUACCCAUUUCCUGCUGCGCAAGUUGUGUCGCAAGGUUUUGAUGCAUGGUGGCAUAUAACGUGAUGGUGUCGUCCAUGCGUGCAGGCGGGAGAGAUCAAGGUGGGGGCGUGGGGUGGCGACGGAGGGUCUGCAUGGGAUAUAGCGGCUGCCUACCGCAUCACCAACAUCAAGAUUCGCGCCGGAGACGCCAUCGACGGCAUCGUGAUCACCGUCACCCGUUAUGGUCAGACGGAGAUCAAGCGCUACGGCGGCACCGGGGCAAACUCUAUGAGAUUCCUCUGCAAGAGGACGAGUAUCUUGUGGGCGUCGAGGGGUCUGUGGAUACGAUGUGGGGAAUCACUCUGGUGAGGAACCUGACGCUGAGGACCAACAAGAAAAGCUAUGGACCUUUCGGCACCUGUGGCGGAACACCUUUCUCCGUUCCUGUAGCCUCGGGUAAGAUCAUUGGCUUCUUUGGACAUGUGGGCGCCAUGAUUGAUGCCAUCGGAGUUUACCUAGCUCCUAAAUAGACCUCUUGGAGUGAUACUGCUGCUUCAAUGAGUCUUGCUGCUACUUGGGCUCCAUAAUAAAUGAACUGUUACUGUCGUCGUCCUCCCUCCGUCUCCUCCUCCUUAGUAGUCAAAGUUGGAUGUUAUCAUGAAUAAAAUAAAUAAGGAUCUAGUUUGAUA